AGUGAACGCUGGCGGUAGGCCUAACACAUGCAAGUCGAACGGCAGCACAGUAAGAGCUUGCUCUUACGGGUGGCGAGUGGCGGACGGGUGAGGAAUACAUCGGAAUCUACUUUUUCGUGGGGGAUAACGUAGGGAGACUUACGCUAAUACCGCAUACGUCCUACGGGUGAAAGCAGGGGAUCUUCGGACCUUGCGCGAUUGAAUGAGCCGAUGUCGGAUUAGCUAGUUGGCGGGGUAAAGGCCCACCAAGGCGACGAUCCGUAGCUGGUCUGAGAGGAUGAUCAGCCACACUGGAACUGAGACACGGUCCAGACUCCUACGGGAGGCAGCAGUGGGGAAUAUUGGACAAUGGGCGCAAGCCUGAUCCAGCCAUACCGCGUGGGUGAAGAAGGCCUUCGGGUUGUAAAGCCCUUUUGUUGGGAAAGAAAAGCAGCAGGUUAAUACCCCGCUGUUCUGACGGUACCCAAAGAAUAAGCACCGGCUAACUUCGUG
rnacentral:rRNA from 1 species